CAAAGUAGAGCUUGGUAUAAAGCAUUUUAUUUACAUUAAAAAGUUAAUUGUGUAAUUCAAUUUAUUUUGA
rnacentral:tRNA from 1 species